rnacentral:lncRNA from 1 species
AGGGUUUUGGAGGCUGUUUCUCCCGGCUUGGGUGUUGUAUCAUUCAUCACAGAAUUCAAAGCCAGGGGUAACAGACUGCUGUGUGAUAGCCCAUGAGUGUUUCUGCUGCAUCACAGAAGGAGAUACAGACAUGAUUUCCUAGGGCACAGGCAAAUGCUCAAGGCUAGCUGUGACUCCAUUGAGUUUUGUAUACAAAAAAAAGAUCUUAAAAUAAAGAACUGAAUAUCAGGACCUUGCUAAGAGGACAGUGAACAUCAGAAUAAAAAGUGACCUAAAUGGAAAGAGCAUCUUCAAAUGACAGACAGCUUAGAAUGAGAAGAAUGACUGGAAGAACCAAAGAGAAUGGUUCAUAGAGACAGGUAGUCCUUGGGUAGGAUUGUGUGAAAGCAAAGAUCUCCCUAUUUCCCAUCCAUAAUCUGCCAGGAAAAACAACACAAAGAAUGAGAAAUGUUUGGAAUGUUUUGCAUCCAGGCGACUAAGACGCCUCCUGAACUGAUUUGCAGUACUGCUGUGUAUGGAAUGCUACAGAACACUCAAAGCAGUCAAUUUAAACGAUUGCUAGAUCAUCACUUGAUUCUGAGGAAUCAUCACUGGGCUGAGAUUUUAGCAUCAGAGAGAACUCUGAGACUCACAGACUGAACUUGGAGCUGCAGGUCAUUUUUCUCUUGCAUCAGAGCUACCAUCUUUUCUUCCAGCUCUUUUCUUUUGGCCUCCGCCUUUGCAAGGUUUUCUUUAGCUUUUUCAAAUUCUUCCUUCAUGUUGGCCAUCUCCUUCUCUGUCUCCGCACUCUUCAAGAGAGGUUUGAUCUUGAAAUACAGCUUCAUCCAGGGCCAGUGUUUCACAUUCAUGAAGGCGCGGACGUUGUACUGGAUGCAGAAGAUGGACUCUCUGUGAUAAUAACAGAAAUGUUCAAAGUUGGGUUCUAACAGGAAUCAGGAAUAAAGGGACUAGAACAAGGAAU